AUUGUUGUUAAAUGUAUAGAAUAUGAUUAUAUGUGAUCUAAUUGCUAUUAAUUGAUGAUUGCAUGGACUAUCUAGUUGUUCUAGUAUUACAUACAUGUGAUAAAUGAUUAAAUGACAUAGUGUCGUGUCUUGAUAGAUGUCGGAUAAAAGCAUAUGGAUUAUAGUGAUUGGAUUUGGUUGGUUGAUUGUUGAUUGAGAUAGGAUAACAGGUGGAUAGUCUAAUAAAUAGACGAGACGAUGUCGGAUUUUCGAUAAGAUUUAUAUGAUAUUUAAUUGAUAAUAUGUUAUGUGAAAUAUGAUUAGACUAUAUGGUAGAGUCAAAGCAUGAUUAUGUGUUAAGUGAUAUUUGAUGAGUUUAAAGAGUUAUAUAAGUGGGUAUCGAUAUACGUGAUAUGUGUAUGCGAUAGGUUAUGCUACCGAGUUGAUAAGUAGAGAUAAGAAUCAAUAGAUUAUUUAGUGAUAAUGGUAGUAUCUUAUUCUCGUAAAGGGUUUGGACGAGACGGAUACGAUCGAAGACGUUCAGAAGGUCAAACGAUGUUACAAAGCGAAUAAGGAACGAAUCGAGUAAACGAAGCAGUGUGGCGAAUAGAGUAUAGCCAAAGAUGGUCUAGAGACUAUGAUAUGCAUAGAGUGUGAAAGUGGAAAGAUGAGAUUGAGAUAUGAGACUGGAAUCGGAUUUAAGAAAAGCUUAGAGUUGAAUUGAGAUUGCGAGUAUGGCUAAGGCUAAGCGAGGAGUCAGAGUUACAGAAUAUCCAGAGGACAAGUGGAAUGUUCAGGGAGAUUGACAAGGUUGGUUCUAGAUAGAGUUGUAUUAUUGAGAUUCAGUUGUAAGUCAUAAUUGAGGUAGACUGGCAGUGAUUCUUCUUAUCGAAGAUGAUCUGAGUUUGUAAGAUAAUGUUUAUUAAUAGUGGUUGAUUCUAAUUUCAAUACUGUAACCUGGA